rnacentral:rRNA from 1 species
GGGGGCCCGCACAAGCGGUGGAGCAUGUGGUUUAAUUCGAAGCAACGCGAAGAACCUUACCAGGUCUUGACAUCCUCUGACAAUCCUAGAGAUAGGACGUCCCCUUCGGGGGCAGAGUGANCAGGUGGUGCAUGGUUGUCGUCAGCUCGUGUCGUGAGAUGUUGGGUUAAGUCCCGCAACGAGCGCAACCCUUGAUCUUAGUUGCCAGCAUUCAGUUGGGCACUCUAAGGUGACUGCCGGUGACAAANCCGGAGGAAGGUGGGGAUGACGUCAAAUCAUCAUGCCCCUUAUGACCUGGGCUACACACGUGCUACAAUGGACAGAACAAAGGGCAGCGAAACCGCGAGGUUAAGCCAAUCCCACAAAUCUGUUCUCAGUUCGGAUCGCAGUCUGCAACUCGACUGCGUGAAG